CAAUGAGAAUAACUUCACAUCAUAUUUUCACUUCAGCAUAUGCGUACAUUUGUUGAUUAUCAAUAAACAAGAAUAAUGUCUAAGUAGCCAUAGACAUUUGUCUUUUAAUUAAUCUAUUAAUUGAUCUAAAAUUUACAACACAUACACCAUCACAGUAGCAAUUCACCCAAAACUUGGAACACCUCCGUCGAUGCCGAAUUCAUACCUAAAUUCCGACUCCAAAUUUCAAAAUCUAAAAACCUUGAGUUUGAAUUCUUCGUUGCUCAAAUUCUCAAUCUCCACCGACUCAAAACUCACCGUUUUCCGACGAUUUUCCAUCUUCGAUCUUUGGAGCUCCCGCCACACCGCAAUCUCGCGUCUUAGCAUCAUCUUCGAUUGAUUCCUCUGAAAUUUUUUAUCUGCUUCGCCGCUUUCUCAAUCGCCGACCACGUCAUCGCAUCGCGAACUCGCAAUCGCCUCAUCUACAAUCACUGUGAAAAUCUGCUCGCAGGUGGGUUUUCGGUGUGAUUACAAAUCAGGAUUGGGCAAGUAGUAGGCUCAAUGUUAACGGAAAGAGAAUUUCACAAAUGAAAAGAAAAAAAAAGAAAAAAAAUUGCUGAUGUGGAAUAGAGUCGCGUACAGGCGC
rnacentral:lncRNA from 1 species